GAUGAACGCUGGCGGCGUGCCUAAUACAUGCAAGUCGAGCGAACAGACGAGGAGCUUGCUCCUCUGACGUUAGCGGCGGACGGGUGAGUAACACGUGGAUAACCUACCUAUAAGACUGGGAUAACUUCGGGAAACCGGAGCUAAUACCGGAUAAUAUAUUGAACCGCAUGGUUCAAUAGUGAAAGACGGUUUUGCUGUCACUUAUAGAUGGAUCCGCGCCGCAUUAGCUAGUUGGUAAGGUAACGGCUUACCAAGGCAACGAUGCGUAGCCGACCUGAGAGUGUGAGCGGACACACUGGAACUGAGACACGGUCCAGACUCCUACGGGAGGCAGCAGUAGGGAAUCUUCCGCAAUGGGCGAAAGCCUGACGGAGCAACGCCGCGUGAGUGAGGAAGGUCUUCGGAUCGUAAAACUCUGUUAUUAGGGAAGAACAAAUGUGUAAGUAACUAUGCACGUCUUGACGGUACCUAAUCAGAAAGCCACGGCUAACUACGUG
rnacentral:rRNA from 1 species